UAUUCCACUUGACAGCUGAGGUUAAAACGGGCUCCAUGUGGGCCAUAUUUUGGAAUCAAAACUGCAAACGAGGGAUUUUCCUACCGCUAUUUUAAGGUUUGCACAAACCAGCUAAUCAGACACCAGAAAUGGUUUUGGAUCAUAUCAACAGCAGGCCGGUGUCAUCGAAAUCAAACAGCCCAAAGAAGUGUGUAAUAGCUUGCCUGAUGAAUGGACCUACAGUACAAAUAGACGGUGCUGCAGCGCAUUACGGAAUCCAGUGUAUUAUCUGCUGCUCUGAG
rnacentral:ncRNA from 1 species